GGAGGGGCGGGGUAGGGCCGGGCCGAGAGAAACCACUGGGGAGGGUCUGGGGUCGGGGCUUUGCCAUCAGUGGUGUGAGGAGCAGGCCGGGGCAGUGGGCAAUUGAGCGAGGAACAGCUGCGGGAGGACUCCGCGGACUCCUGAGAACCAGCUUAGGGGAGCGGCGGCUUGGGGAGGUGUAGGGUGGAAUCACGAGAAAGCUCUGUGGGAGGGCCUGGUGCACAGCUCAGCUGCAGGGUGGAGCUGAGGGAAAGCCGGGCGUUCCUGGAGGAGGAGCAGGGCGAGGCUGUGGCAAAGCGCUGUGGGAGCAGAUGGGGCGGGGCUGCGGGAAAGAGCUGGAGAAGGAGGAGCCAAGCUGCACCAAGGCUGGCGGGCAAGAGUCCAAACUUUCCCGCGGCGACCUAACUGCACCUCCAGUGUCUUCCCCCAGAGGGCACAGAAGCAGCAAGAAGGGCGGGAACACUUGACUGGGGUCCAUGCAGCUCUAGGCUGAGUCUUGCAGGGCUGAGCCCCCCAGGCCUGCUCUCCUGUGUCCUGGCCGCUCCGUCAGUGCCUGCCAGUGGGGUCCAGAGGGACCGUUUUUUUAACGCCUCUUUUGCAGUCUCCCGCAUUGACUUCAUAACCAAGUUCUGGGUCCCUGCCUCUGGAGUGCCUGAUGAGACAAAACGGCUCCUCGUCCUGCAUCCCCGCUGCUACUUCCAGAAUUCAGGCCUCGUGGUCUGGAGCCUGCACUGUUCCAUGAGCCUCCUGAGCAACCUGGAGUCCUCUGUCUUUCUUCCCUCAGUGAGAUGCGCCUACUUCUCCCUGGAGAAGCUUGAGGAAGCAGAAAUGCUGGAGAUGAGAGACCUCGUCCGCACAGGGGCUUGUUCUUCUGUGUCUUUGCAGGGCUGUUUUGGACUCAGUAUUCACCUAAGCACUCCAAAUUGUAAGUAACCCCAGAGAUCAUGGAGUGUCCCACUGCCCCUCCAUCUGAAGGCUGUGACCUCUCCCCCAAGGAGGAGGUGCUCGCAUGCGUCCAGUGCCCUGCCCAUUAGAUUAGGGAGGGUUCCCUUUUUUGCUCUCUUGCACUCAUUUGUCCGCCUUUUAGCUUUCCUUUUCUGCCCUGACUCUCACAGGGUCGUGCGGAUGUGCGAUGUAGGAGGAGGAGAGAGGUAAAGUGGAGGAAUAGGAGCUGGAGGGGAGGAGGAGAGAAGAAAAGAGGAG
rnacentral:lncRNA from 1 species